AUACGGAGGAUCCAAGCGUUAUCCGGAAUCAUUGGGUUUAAAGGGUCCGUAGGCGGCCCUGUAAGUCAGUGGUGAAAUCUCCCGGCUCAACCGGGAAAUUGCCAUUGAUACUGCAGGGCUUGAAUUUCUGUGAAGUAACUAGAAUAUGUAGUGUAGCGGUGAAAUGCUUAGAUAUUACAUGGAAUACCGAUUGCGAAGGCAGGUUACUAACAGACGAUUGACGCUGAUGGACGAAAGCGUGGGUAGCGAACAGGAUUAGAUACCCUGGUAGUCCACGCCGUAAACGAUGGAUACUAGCUGUUCGGUAGCAAUACUGAGUGGCUAAGCGAAAGUGAUAAGUAUCCCACCUGGGGAGUACGUUCGCAAGAAUGAA
rnacentral:rRNA from 1 species